CUUUAGGGGGCCUGAGAGGGUGAUCCCCCACACUGGUACUGAGACACGGACCAGACUCCUACGGGAGGCAGCAGUGAGGAAUAUUGGACAAUGGGUGAGAGCCUGAUCCAGCCAUCCCGCGUGAAGGACGACGGCCCUAUGGGUUGUAAACUUCUUUUGUAUAGGGAUAAACCUACCCU
rnacentral:rRNA from 1 species